UAGAAAACGCACAAAACCGUCCUUAUUGCAAAGCAGACAAGCGUUCAUUUGUGUACUGGCGACAGAGGCCACUUUAGAGGAAACCAUCGCGUCUCGACAACUGGAAGCUCCGAACUUGGGGAAAAAUGUACAGCCAUUCAUAGUGGCUUUUGGUUCUAUUGCAAACAUCAACAACAAAUUCUUCGUAAUCUUGGACAACAUUAAGUUCCCUUGUAGCAGCAUUGUAUCGGCUUUGGACCUCUUGUUUAAACUACACACUGUUUUCCAUUUGCGAUACGCGGAAGAAUGCGAAAACGUUCUAAAGUUUAUUCAGUUUUACUUUUAUAAAAUAUCAUUCUCUGGAGAUCGUCUGGACUCCUCAACAACUGCAUUCAUAGCUGACUUAGAUCGCUGUUAGCAUUUGUUAUAUGUUGUUUAGUUUUUAUGUUGUUUAAGCUGUUUAUUGUUAUAAAUGAAAUAAAUAGAUGAUUUUUCGAUACACCAUAA